rnacentral:rRNA from 1 species
GUAUGUUGACGUAUUCUGAAAGGGAUACUUCUUCGGACAAUAUACAAGGUGCUGCAUGGUUGUCGUCAGCUCGUGCCGUGAGGUGUCGGGUUAAGUCCCAUAACGAGCGCAACCCUAUCAUUAGUUGCCAUCAGGUCAAGCUGGGGACUCUAAUGAAACUGCCUACGCAAGUAGUGAGGAAGGUGGGGAUGACGUCAAAUCAGCACGGCCCUUACGUCCAGGGCUACACACGUGCUACAAUGGCCGGUACAAAGGGCAGCUACCUGGUGACAGGAUGCUAAUCUCAAAAGCCGGUCUCAGUUCGGAUCGGAGUCUGCAACCCGACUCCGUGAAGCUGGAAUCGCUAGUAAUCGUGAAUCAGAAUGUCACGGUGAAUACGUUCCCGGGCCUU